UACAGAGGUCUCAAGCGUUGUUCGGAUUCAUUGGGCGUAAAGGGUGCGUAGGUGGCGCUGUAAGUCGGGUGUGAAAUUUCGGAGCUUAACUCCGAAACUGCAUUCGAUACUGCGGUGCUUGAGGACUGGAGAGGAGACUGGAAUUAUGGUGUAGCAGUGAAAUGCGUAGAGAUCAAUAGGAACACCAGUGGCGAAGGCGAGUCCCUGGACAACACCUGACACUGAGGCACGAAAGCUAGGGGAGCAAACAGG
rnacentral:rRNA from 1 species